GCUCCGGCGGCCUAGUGGGUAGAGCAUCCGCCUCAGAUGCAGAAGUUCGUGGGUUCGAUCUCCGGCCGAGUCA